AAUUACUCCUUGGUUUGGGCUUGUUUCACCACUGUCUGAUAAAGUACCGAAUAGGCUAUAUACAACUUUUUUGACAGAUUCUCCAUACUUGAUCUGUCAAAUUAAUUGUUG